CAAGUUGUAAAGGUCUAGAAAGUGAUAUAUGAAAAGUUAGAAAACGUUCCAUAUUUCUUUCUGCCUCUGAUAAGCUGAUAAAGCACUGAGUACUGUUACCAGUCGCAAGCUCAAGAUUUUACAUUUUCUUUGGUUACCUUCUAAUAAUAGACCCAGAAGUGCUUCUCAAUCAUGCCAAAAAUUCCUCUGUCCAGUCUAUAUAUCCAGCCCUCUGGAAAGAGUGUUAACACUUUAACCCAGCAUCAUUCUUUGGUUCCCAAGCUUUUACUCUGAUACAAAGGUAUAUUUCUACUGCCUUUUCUACACGUGGAUUUCCAUACUGGUUAUAAGCAGUAGUAAUGCUAACAUAUCUAAAACUUUUACUUCAUUUUUUAAACCUAAAAAAAAAAAAAAAAAAAGUUCUUGUAAACUUCAAGGAAUCUACUUUAAUCCACCUCUCACAGGUCAAAUGGACUCCAGAUAAAUUCUCCUAAGUUUCCCCACCUGCUCCUCAGGGUAGGAUCUCUGUCUCUGUCUCUGUCUCUGUCUCUGUCUCUCUCUCUUUCUCUCUCUCUCUCUCUCUUUCUCUCCUGGUCUUGGGACUAUACUCAUCCCACUACUGGAAGUUUCAAAUGUAUAUCCAAGGUAAAAAAAAAUUUCCCUAAACUCUUUAACUUUGCCUUCUGGCCCUAAUACAUACAUUUCAGCAGAUUUCCAAUCAAUCAAAGACUACAAACUGUUCUAAUGUGGCCUGCACCUCCCUAGCCCCAGAUGGUUUCUCAGAGCCUGGACAGCAAGUAAAACAGCUUGCUCUUCCUGGCCUUGGUCAGCAUUCAUCUUUCUUGGGUCCCCCAAAGAUGUCAACAGCCCUAGUUAGCCGAAAACAGUCUAAAGAGCAUGGCACCCUCACUGCUACCUCACCAGUCACCCCUUCCUAUUUUUUUAACUGUUAAACAAAAUGGAGAAAUGUUAAUCAAGUAAGAACCACUUACAUUCUAGAACCAGAUGCCCUCCAUCCUCCACCCAACCUUUAAUGACUUAACCCCAUCAUUACUUAGACAAUAUACAAUUCCACCAUCACCACUGUGCCCAUGUUUUCUCUAAUAGAAUUCUCCAUACUCUCAGUCCCCAUAAUGUCUGCAAUCAGAACAUGCUCUGCUGUGGUCUCCACCCAUGCUCAGAAGCAGCCAUCCCCACCUCCCAAUAAAUCUCUUUCAUAAGGUCUUGGUGGGGAGGUGGGGCAUUGAUUGUUUUGACAUUCCUUGGUUCCUGAUUGUCAAGAUGCUCUUUCAUCACAAAACCACAAAACUCUUUCAACAGGCCCACACUAAGGAAGAAGGAGACUGCCUUUAGAAAAGACAUGGAUUGGACUCUGGGCUCUUAUAUAUACUACCAAACACACAACAUUGGUGGCAAGACUACUCUUGGAUUUAGAAACUUGUAGGUUCACAUCUCCUGCUGCCACAUGGGAUUACAGCCAUCAAUUGCUAGACCUAUUCAUCCAAACUUUGGAGAACUGGUACCAAUGGCUGUGCAACAGCUCAUUUUCGUCAAAUAAAGACAUAAACCCAACACAGCUCGCCCAGGACUGGGAGGAAAAGGUGCUGGAACCCGGGACCCAAGCCCUGAGCGGGACCAGAGGAUCCUGCUGGCUAUUAUCUCUAUCCAGUAAGAAGAAAGUGAGCCAUGGAGUUGGAACCAUCUUCACAGGACAUGGUGUCAGAUAGCGAAGAGCAAAUAAUUCACCUGAAGAAGUGGAGAGGUUAAACAAGGCACAUCAAGUUCUCCCAUCCCAGAAAGCACCACAUCCCCAGACUCAUGUGACAUGGCCGCCUCACGGGGCAAUAGGAGGUCAUUGGAAGGAGGGUUUUCAAGACCUCAGCCAUGGUCUCCCGUACAACACAGAGAGAGGAUUUUUGUGGCUGGCAGAAUUGUGAGUUCUGGGCUAACAACAUUCCUGCAGCUGAAGGACAAUGCCUACUUGUAUGUAACACGGAAACAGGUGCUCCCUUUGUGCUGUGUGUGGAGUCAGAGAAGAACCAGGUAACCCGCUGGCAACACUG
rnacentral:lncRNA from 1 species